rnacentral:lncRNA from 12 species
AAAUGAGAAGACUGCAGUUCUGAUUGCGACUGACGUGAAGAUCCACGCCGAGGUCAUCCUCAGUCUUCAUUCAGAAGUCACCCUCCUGUCAUUUUACCCCAUGAAAGAUUUCAUGUCAACGGGGUCCCCCCCCCCACCCACACCCCCGGUGUGGCCAUGCCGGAGCAGCUCCUUUUCCUCCUUCCUAUCCCUGAGACGAAUUUUGGCUCCAGGAUGUGACAAAAUGAACGCGUGGGGAUGAAUCUUCUGUUCUUUCGUAAGUGGUAGCGAUGUAUCGUCCGUGUGCAAAAGAGCCCUUCGGGGGAUCAUACACAGGACCAUAUUCCCCUGCACGUAUUUAGAGAAUGAAAAACAAAAUAAUACAAAAACAACAACAACAACAAAAAACAACCCUUGCAUGUCAUUGAGCCUCAGCUCACUUGCCUUUGGGCUCCAAAUGUCCACUUGCUCCUUGAAGGCACAGCUUUGGGUAGAACCUUGGGUUAAAAACAGCCGUGGGGUGGUUUAAGGGAGCAGUUGGCUCGGAGAUUGGCCUGGUCUGGAGAAGGGGCGUGGACAGCCGCGGGUCCUCCUGCAGUCUGGGGGGCUCUUUCGCUCCAUCCCUGACACCUAGGCUCCCCCCAGGGGCCAAGCAUCACAAGGGAGGACGUCAAUUGUUUCCGCGCUGCCAAGUCCUCCUCUCUGUGACCGGCUCGAAGGGGGCGCAGGGCCCGGGCUGUGCCUCGGGCAGACCUCGUUCCCGAGCUCCACCUCCACAAGCUUGCCAGGCAGAGGUCUGGGUGCUAAGGGACGCCCGGUCUAGGCCGCUCCGUUGCCACCCUGUGAGCUGUGAGCGCACCCGAGACCCUCACAGUGAAGGGAGCUGCUGGGAAGGCCGCAGCCAAGGGCAGGAAGCUCGCAAAGCUCUUCCCCGUCCCAGGACUGGGGGGCGAAGUCCUGCGAGACGCGUGGGGCACCAGGCGGAGGGGAGACGGCGAGGCGUGAGGCCGGAAAUUGGAUGUCACAGCUCUCUGCGCAAGCAAUUUUUUUAGAAGCCGGGCAUUGCCCGACGGAGAGAGCCAGGUGUCACGGGAGAGGAGAACCCUUUGCACCCUCAGCCUUCGCGCUCCCGUUCAACCCACUGGGACGCGGGACGGCCCUGAUCUUUCCUCUGACUUGCUCUCCAGUCUCUAGUUCCCCACCGACCAGUCGAGUUCUGCGGCACCAGAGGGCCGUUGCCUACAACCUCCUGACCCGCUGUCUGCCUCUGCCCGACAGCUCCAAACAGAGGCUCCCUCACCCCGUUGGCGUUCUCUGUGGGCCCUUCGCACGGAACGUUCCAGAAGGCCCUGCCACGUUGCAUGGGUUAGCUCCAUGCACUGCGCUCUUGGAGGGACGUAGAAGAAAACGUCAUCCCGUUUUCUUCUGAAGACACAGAAGAAGUUUUAAGAAGUAAAGGAACUUCUCCAAAGACAUACUCUAGACAUCGGCAGCUCAGGACAGACAAACCCAAAGCCUGGUAGCACGAACCAUCUUAACAUGCACGAGGCCCCUGCAAGUCCUUGCAGAUCCGGCAAGUCGAGAUAGAAUUUCUGGUCUAGUCAAUGAAGGUCUUGCAGCGUGGUGACGCUCCCAGAUGAAGUUCUGGCCUGAAUUCUUGAAUUGAGGAAAGAAAAGUGAAGUUUAAAAAUACAAAAAAAAAAAAAAAAAAAAAAAACAAACAAAAAACCAGGGGCUGUCUGGGUGGCUCCAUCGGUUAAGUGUCCAACUCUUGACUUUGGCUCAGGUCGUGAUCUCGGGGUCGUGAGGUUGAGCCCCGGGUCGGGCUCCAUGCUGGGCGUGGAGUUUGCCUAAAAGACUCUCUCCCUCUCCCUCCACCCUUCAUCCCCACCCUCUCUCCAAUAAAUAAAUAUAUAUAUUUUUUAAAGGAUACA